AUUGAACGCUGGCGGCAGGCCUAACACAUGCAAGUCGAGCGAGCGGCGGACGGGUGAGUAAUGUCUGGGAAACUGCCUGAUGGAGGGGGAUAACUACUGGACACGGUAGCUAAUACCGCAUACCAUCGGAUGAGCCCAAGUGGGAUUAGGUAGUUGGUGGGGUAAUGGCCUACCAAGCUGACGAUCUCUAGCUGGUCUGAGAGGAUGACCAGACACAACGGGACUGAGAGACGGCCCGGACUCGUACGGGAGGCAGAAGUGGGGAAUAUUGGGCAAUGGGGGCAACCCUGACGCAGCCAUGCCGCGUGAAUGAAGAAGGCCUUAGGGUUGUAAAGUUCUUUCGGUAUUGAGGCGUUAAAUACAGAAGAAGCACCGGCGAACUCCGUGCCAGCAGCCGCGGUAAUUC
rnacentral:rRNA from 1 species